rnacentral:rRNA from 1 species
CGCGUGAGGAUCUGCCUACAGGACAGGGACAACAGGGAGAAAUUCCUGCUAAAACCUGAUGUGCCGAGAGGUGAAAUAUUUUAUAGCCUGUAGAUGAACUCGCGUCUGAUUAGCUAGUUGGUGAAGUAACGGUUUACCAAGGCGACGAUCAGUAGCUGGUCUGAGAGGACGAUCAGCCACACUGGGACUGAGACACGGCCCAGACUCCUACGGGAGGCAGCAGUGGGGAAUUUUCCGCAAUGGGCGCAAGCCUGACGGAGCAACGCCGCGUGAGGGAGGAAGGCCUGUGGGUUGUAAACC